rnacentral:rRNA from 1 species
GACGAACGCUGGCGGCAGGCCUAACACAUGCAAGUCGAGCGAGCGGCGGACGGGUGAGUAAUGCCUGGGAAUUGCCCAGUCGGGGGGUAUAACAGUUGGAAACGACUGCUUAUACCGCAUACGAUUGGAAUGCCCGGGUGGGAUUAGAUAGUUGGUGAGGUAGUGGCACACCAAGGCCACGAUCCCUAGCUGGUCUGAGAGGAUGACCAGCCACACUGGAACUGAGACACGGUCCAGACUCCUACGGGAGGCAGCAGUGGGGAAUAUUGCACAAUGGGGGAAACCCUGAUGCAGCCAUGCCGCGUGUGUGAAGAAGGCCUUCGGGUUGUAAAGCACUUUCAGCGGGGAGGCGUUACCCGCAGAAGAAGCACCGGCUAACUCCGUGCCAGCAGCCGCGGUAAUAC